CCGGCGCACGGGUGAGUAACACGUAUCCAACCUGCCGUCUACUCUUGGCCAGCCUUCUGAAAGGAAGAUUAAUCCAGGAUGGGAUCAUGAGUUCACAUGUCCGCAUGAUUAAAGGUAUUUUCCGGUAGACGAUGGGGAUGCGUUCCAUUAGAUAGUAGGCGGGGUAACGGCCCACCAAGCUUCGAUGGAUAGGGGUUCUGAGAGGAAGGUCCCCCACAUUGGAACUGAGACACGGUCCAA
rnacentral:rRNA from 1 species